rnacentral:rRNA from 1 species
UGAGGGAGAAAAUUCGUUGAUAGUACCUCAAGAAUAAGAGGCUCCAAACUUUGUGCCAGCAGGAGCGGUAAUACAGAGGCCUCAAGCGUUAUCCGGAAUCACUGGGCGUAAAGGGUGUGUAGGUGGUUGUGUUAGUCGUUUGUUAAACCUCCCGGCCUAACCGGGAACAUGCACGCGAAACGGCACAACUAGAGGGUGUGAGGGGUCUGUGGAACUCAUGGAGUAGGGGUAAAAUCCGUUGAUAUCAU